UAAGGAAUAUUGGUCAAUGGACGCAAGUCUGAACCAGCCAUGCCGCGUGAAGGAUGAAGGUCCUCUGGAUUGUAAACUUCUUUUAUCUGGGACGAAAACGGGAUUUUUAUCUCAAUUGACGGUACCAGGGGAAUAAGCACCGGCUAACUCCGUGCCAGCAGCCGCGGUAAUACGGAGGGUGCGAGCGUUAUCCGGAUUUACUGGGUUUAAAGGGUGCGUAGGUGGGCUUAUAAGUCAGUGGUGAAAUCUCCGAGCUUAACUUGGAAACUGCCGUUGAUACUAUAGGUCUUGAAUUAUCUGGAGGUAAGCGGAAUAUGUCAUGUAGCGGUGAAAUGCUUAGAUAUGACAUAGAACACCAAUUGCGAAGGCAGCUUACUACAUAUAAAUUGACGCUGAGGCACGAAAGCGUGGGGAUCAAACA
rnacentral:rRNA from 1 species